rnacentral:rRNA from 1 species
AUCCAGCAAUGCCGCAUAAGGAUGAAGACCUUCGGGUUGUAAAGCUUUUUUGGCGGGGACGAUAAUGACGGUACCCGCAGAAUAAGCCCCGGCUAACUUCGUGCCAGCAGCCGCGGUAAUACGAAGGGGGCUAGCGUUGUUCGGAAUUACUGGGCGUAAAGGGCGCGUAGGCGGUCCUGAUCGUCGGAUGUGAAAGGCCUGGGCUCAACCUGGGAACUGCAUCCGAUACGGCGGGACUGGAGUGUGGGAGAGGUUGGUGGAAUUCCCAGUGUAGAGGUGAAAUUCGUAGAUAUUGGGAAGAACACCGGUGGCGAAGGCGGCCAACUGGACCACAACUGACGCUGAGGCGCGAAAGCGUGGGGAGCAAACAGGAUUAGAUACCCUGGUAGUCCACGCUGUA